AGUGAACGCUGGCGGUAGGCCUAACACAUGCAAGUCGAACGGCAGCACAGUAAGAGCUUGCUCUUACGGGUGGCGAGUGGCGGACGGGGGAGGAAUACAUCGGAAUCUACUUUUUCGUGGGGGAUAACGUAGGGAAACUUACGCUAAUACCGCAUACGACCUACGGGUGGAAGCAGGGGAUCUUCGGACCUUGCGCGUUUGAAUGAGCCGAUGUCGGAUUAGCUAGUUGGCGGGGUAAAGGCCCGCCAAGCCGACGCUCCGUAGCUGGUCUGAGCGGAGGAUCAGCCACACUGGAACUGAGACACGGUCCAGACUCCUACGGGAGGCAGCAGUGGGGAAUAUUGGACAAUGGGCGCAAGCCUGAUCCAGCCAUAACGCGUGGGUGAAGAAGGCCUUCGGGUUGUAAAGCCCUUUUGUUGGGAAAGAAAAGCGGCAGGUUAAUACCCCGCUGUUCUGACGGUACCCAAAGAAUAAGCACCGGCUAACUUCGUG
rnacentral:rRNA from 1 species